CAGUCCACGCCGUAAACGAUGGACACUUGGUGUUGGAGGUAUUGACCCCUUCAGUGCCGGAGCUAACGCGUUAAGUGUCCCGCCUGGGGAGUACGGUCGCAAGAUUAAAACUCAAAGAAAUUGACGGGGGCCCGCACAAGCGGUGGAGCAUGUGGUUUAAUUCGAUGCAACGCGAAGAACCUUACCUGGGUUCGAAAUCCAUUGGAAUAUAUUAGAGAUAGUAUAGCUCUUCGGAGCCGGUGGAUCAGGUGCUGCAUGGUUGUCGUCAGCUCGUGUCGUGAGAUGUUGGGUUAAGUCCCGCAACGAGCGCAACCCUUACCUUUAGUUGCCAGCAUUUAGUUGGGCACUCUAAAGGGACUGCCGACGUUAAGUCGGAGGAAGGUGGGGAUGACGUCAAGUCCUCAUGGCCCUUAUGUCCAGGGCUACACACGUGCUACAAUGUUGGUACAGAGGGUCGCUAAACAGUGAUGUUAUGCUAAUCCCUUAAAGCCAAUCUAAGUUCGGAUUGGAGUCUGCAACUCG
rnacentral:rRNA from 1 species